UUGGUUGGGGUUCUCUCCCCAAAUUGGGGUUUUGGAUUACAGAAGGCAUUCAUCUAGUUUGUUCUGGGUUUUCUCCCAUAGAUCACUAAACUGGUAUUUUCAAUUUGGAUGAUUAUCUCUGCUGCGCUAUUUCAAAUUGAAACCCUUUGCAGAGUAUCUGCAAUAUCAUUGAAAACUUUGAACUUGGCCAACAUCCCAAUUCUCACUGGAGGAAGUAAUUACAAGAAGUGGAGACGCGACAUUGGAUUGCUGCUGACUAUCAAUGAAUAUGACAUUGCCAUUGAUACUCCGAAACCAACAAUCACAGACCAGAGUACUAGAGCAGAGAAAGCAGAUCAUGAAUGAUGGAUGAGAGCCAACAAGGUGGCACUUUCCAUCCUGGAAAGUGGCAUGACUGAUACAGUUCUGGGGGCAUCAAAAGACAUGAAUUAGCUGCUGAAUAUUUGAGUGCAAUUGAGAAGAAAUUCAAGGAGUCUCAGAAGGCUGAAAUUAGCCAAUACAUGGCCUUACUGACAACCUAUAAGAUUGAUAGUACUGGUUCCAUUCGAGACCACAUAAUGAAGAUGGCCGAUGCUGCUGAGAAAUUGAACUCAUUGGAUGUCCAUAUUGGAGAAAAACAUUUGGUUUUUAUGAUCCUCCAGGCGCUUCCAAUCAAAUAUUCUCAACUGAAGGUGUCUUAUAAUACACAAGACAAGAGUUGAGAUAUAGAUGAGCUUAUCACACAAUGUGUUCAAGAGGAAACUCGGCAAAAGCAAGAAAAAGGCAAGGAUGUUGAGACUGUGAAUUUCGUGCAAGGAGGAAAAGGGAAGAAGUUCUCAAAUCCUAGAAACAUCUCAGGUAAAUUCUCUAAACCUGCCAAGAAUUAUGAUAAGUUUGAUGCAUCUGCUAAAGUAUUUGAAUCUUCUAAAGGAUCUAACAAUCUUAAACCUAAAACUAAAAACGUUGCUAAAUUCAAGUGUUUUUUCUGCAAAACUCAAGGUCAUUUAAGAAAGGAAUGUGAAAUGUUUAAGGAUUAUCUGAGAGUUAAUGGGAAAGAAAUAGUUAAUGUCUGUGUUGAGUCAAACUUGAUUGAAGUUCCAUUUAAUUCUUGGUGGUUUGAUAUUGGUUGCACAGUGCACAUAACUAAUUCACUGCAUGGUUUUGAAAAACAAAAGCAAUGUGUUUUCAACUAUUUUAAUGUUUUUGUGGGGGAAGGGACAAAAGUUGUAGUUGAAGCUGUUGGAAAAGUAAAAUUGAAAUUGUCUUCAGGUUUUGUUUUGGAAUUAAAUGAUGUACUUUAUGUGCCAAAGAUGAGAAGAAAUUUGAUUUCAGCCUCUAAACUUGUGAAAAAUGGUUUUUCCUUUUUGGGUGAUGAUGAGUAUUUGAAAUUUUUUCAAAAGAACUGUUUUGACUCUAUUUUAGGGACUGCAAUUUUGGUUGAAAAUAUGUGGCAAUUAGAGUGCACUGUGAUUUUUAAUGAACAUUAUGUUUUGAACACAAGCACUAAAAGAAUGCUAAACACUGACACUCCUUACAUUCUAUGGCACAAAAGACUUGGGGAUAUUUCAAAGGACAGAAUUUCAAAGUUGUCAAAAUUAAACUUGAUCCCACAACUUAACUUUUCUGAUGCAACUGAUUGUGUUGAUUGUUACAUAGGAAAAUUAACUAACUUUUGAAAUUUUGAGGCCAAAAGAAGUCAAAGGUUACUUGAAAUCAUUCAUACAGAUGUUUGUGGCCCUUUUCCAACAAAAACAAUUUGUGGAAACAGUUACUUUGUUAAUUUUAUUGAUGGUUUUUCAAGGUUUGGUUACACAUUUCUCAUAAGUGAAAAGUCAGCUGUCCUUAAAUGCUUCAAAAUCUUUAAGACUGAGGAAGAAAAACAAUUAAGUAAAACCAUUAAGAUUGUUAGAUCAGAUAAGGGAGGAGAAUAUUUUGGCAGGUACACAGAGGCUGGACAACAAAAGGGUUCCUUUGCUCUUUACCUUGAAGAGCAAGGCAUUGUGGCUCAAUACACAACUCUCGGCACACCCCAGCAAAACGGAGUAUCAGAAAGAAAAAACAGGACUCUAAUUGGAAUGGUGAGAAGUAUGAUGUCAAGAUCCAAGCUGCCAGGGUUCUUAUGAGGAUAAGCACUUAAAACUACAAAUUACAUACUUAACAGGGUCCCGAGCAAGUCCGUUUCAACAACAUCUUUCGAGAUUUGGUAUGGAAGGGUGCCUAGUUUUGGGCAUUUCCACAUUUGGGGAUGCAAGGCAGAAGCUAGGUUCUAUAAUCCUGAAGAAAGGAAGUUGGAUUCAAGGACAAAAUCUUGUUAUUUUGUCGGGUACUCAGAAAAAUCAAAAGGGUUUAAGUUUUAUUCCCCACAAGCUCACACUAGAAUCAAGGAAACACACAAUGCAAGAUUCCUUGAAGAUCAAGAUGUAUCCGAUUUCACCAUUGAAAACUUUAUUUUUGAAGAAACUGAACAGUUAUAGACAGAAGUGCCCUUAAAUGAAUCAUGUCCAGGUUUAGUUUUUCCCCAAUCUAAGGAUCAAAACGUUGAGCAUCAAGAAGAACUUGAUCAAGUAGAAGAUCAACAAGGUGACACUCAAAUGGAGACUACAACAGAUUUGCAAGCCACAGAUCCUAUAGAUCAACAAGUUGAUGUGCAAGUUCAUACUGAAACCAGAAGAUCCACAAGGAUGAAAAACCUGCAAUUUCAAGUGAUUUCCUUUGUUAUCUUCAAGAAACUGAUUAUAACUUUGGUGACAUUGAUGAUCCGGUCACCUACUCAGAUGCUAUAAAGAGUUCGCAAUCAUUCUUAUGGAAUAAUGCUAUGAAAGACGAGUUGGAAUCAAUGUUCAAGAACCAGGUUUGGUCGUUGGUGGAGCCAAAGUCUCAUGUCAAACCUAUAGGGUGCAGAUGGGUAUAUAAAACCAAAAGAAAUGCAUGUGGGCAGAUUGAGAGGUACAAAGCACGAUUAGUGGCUAAGGGAUUCACUCAGAGAGGGUAUUGACUACAAUGAUACCUUUUCUCCUGUGUCUUCGAAGGAUUCAAUGAGGAUCAUUAUGGCUAUCACUGCACAUUUUGACUUAGAAUUACAUCAAAUGGAUGUCAAGACAGUCUUUCUAAAUGGUGACCUCCAAGAAGAUAUCUAUAUGUGCAGCCCACUGGAUUUAUUGAAAAGGGGAAAUAGCAUAUGGUUUGCAAACUGAAUAAAUCAAUCUAUGGUCUCAAACAAGCUUCAAGGCAAUGGUAUCUUAAAUUUGAUUAGGUGGUUACAUCACAUGGUUUUAUUGAAAAUAAAUUGGAUGAUUGCAUCUAUCUAAAAUUCAGUGGAUCAAAUUUUAUAAUUUUGGUGUUGUAUGUUGAUGAUAUUUUGCUUGCCAGCUCAAGUGUUCAUCUUUUGAAGGAAACCAAGUCUAUGCUUAGUGCAAAUUUUGAGAUGAAGGAUCUUGGUGAAGCACAUUUUGUGUUAGGGAUUGAAAUCACAAGGGACAGAAAUAGAAAGUUGUUGGGAUUAUCACAGAAAGGAUACAUUGAAAGGGUUUUAACUAGGUUCAACAUGGAGAACUGCAAUGGAUGCCAAGUACCUGUGAACAAAGGUGAUCGAUUCUCUAAAGAUCAGAGUCGUAAACUGAGCUUGAAGUCAAGAGAAUGGCUUAGAAGCCAUACGCAUCUUUGGUUGGAAGCUUGAUGUAUGCAAAUGCUUGUACAAGACCUGAUAUUGCCUACAUUGUAGGAAUUUUGGGUAGAUUUCAAUCAAAUCCAAGAGAAGCCCAUUGGAAUGCUGCCAAGAAAGUUCUACGGUAUCUGCAAAGAACUAAAAGCUACAUGCUUGUGUAUGGCAGAGAUAAAGGACUUGAAAUUUCAGGAUACAUUAAUUCUGAUUUGGCAGGAGAUUUAGACGAGAGGAAAUCGACUGGUGGUUAUGUUUUCUUACUUGGUGGAGGUGCAAUCUCAUGGAAAAGUGCUAAACAAACUAUCAUUGCAACUUCGACUAUGAAGGCAGAAUUUGUGGCAUGUUUUGAGGGAAUGAAACAGACUGUGUGGUUGAAGAAUUUUGUGUCAGAACUAAAAGUUAUAAGAUCGAUACAAAAACCUUUGAGACUGUAUUGUGAUAAUAGCUCUGCAGUUUUCUUUGCAAAGAAUAACAAGAGAAGUUUUCUUUGCAUCAAGACUAAUGGAUGUUAAAUUUCUUAAGGUCAGAGAGAAAGUUAAGGAAGGAACCAUCGAUGUGCAACAUUUGAAUACAAGCAUGAUGGUUGCAGAUCCUUUUACCAAGACACUGAUAGUUGGAAUAUUUAAGCUGCAAGUUUCUCGGAUGGGGAUACUUGAAGUUUUUUAUUAGUGGGAGUGAUCUUAAGUGAAGAAUUGAAGAUAGCUAUUGGAGCUUGGGACCUUGCCGAUGUUGCUGCUAUUAUGGUUCAAGUGAAGCUAAGUUAUUCAGUUUUUUUUUUUUAGCUAGUUUAUUGUUAGCUAGAUUGGUUUUUAUUUUAUGUUCGAUCUUUCCAAAAAUACUGUGAUUGAUUGGUCUGAGAAAUAAAUAGUUGAAACUUAAUUCAGUUUGAUGUUCUGAGGAUCACUUUGUGAUAUGACUCGGACAAUUGGUUGAAUUAAAGUUAUAUUGUUCAUUAGUUUUAAUGAAUUUCUGAUUGGUAUUUAUAUUAUCUAUGUUAAAUAGUGGGAGUAGACAUUUUAAGGUUUGCUGGUAUCAAUCUGAUCAUAAUGUUAUAAAUGCAGAUUGGAUAUAUGUGAUCUUAGAAUAGCAAUUGCAUAGUUCAGUGUGGUUGUGAAUUCUUUGGUUCUAUAUUUUGAAAUGCAUAGGUAGAUUGUUUAUGAUGCAUACCCAAAAGACUUAGUGAUCACCCUAUUAACAGACUUGAAUGAACUGAGUUGCAGUUUUCAUACUUGCUCAAGUGGGAGAAUGUAAGAAUAUGAGCAGUGGGAUGAGUCUGUAUUUAGUUUUGAAUUCAAGAUUUAAUAGGAAGUCUCAUUGGGAAUGGAUUUGUAAUCCAUAUUGUUUUGGAAUGAUUAAGGAACAGAGAUGCUAAACCACUGUUGGAUAGGAAUCAGUUUUCUAUAUGGAUUUUAAUAGGGAAAUCCUUAUAGAAUUUGGCUAAGAUUAUGUUGUAUAUAUAGUGGCCUCUGCUCUCGCAGUUUGUACGCUCUAUUAUCAGGACUAAAACCUAUUAUUAGUUAAGAGUUUUGAUUACUGAAGAGAGGAGAAGGCACACUGUGGUUUUAUUGCUGAAUUCGAAUAUGGCUGCUUUUUCGGGUUCAUCUUCAGUUAUAUGUAAUGGUGACAUUGAAUAAUCUACCCUGCCUAACAGUUUCUUGGCCAUUGUUUACAUAAAGGGAUGACAUGGGACUUGUCAUCCGAUGAGGUGCUGUUUCUAGCCUUGUUUGCAUUGUUAUGGGUGCCCUCACCAGCUGCCGCACGAUUUUGCCUCUUUGGACGUCGUUAGUAGCUGUCCCACUGUAUCCCUUGUCCCUCGUAUUAGCUUAUUAUGUCUUGCGUUAUUUUUUGGGCUGGACUGGACAUAGCCAUAGCCUCAAGGAACACGAUGAAAAAGAAGUUGAGAAGACACUCCUUGGCUACUCUAGAACAUAAUUGUUUGGGAGGAACUGCUCAUCAUGUUGUGGGUUUUGUUUCAAGUUCUAAAUGGUAUAGUCUAUAGACAUAUACCUAAGUUGUAUAUAAGAAGGGAACUGUUAUUAGCACUUCAAAUAUCUCAUUCUACACUCCUCAUAGAGUCACAAGUGUAUUUUUCUUUCUAAUUAUAGAAACUUUGGAGUGUCAAAUGAGAUUUUUGGAAUGGUAAUAACAAUUCCCUAUAAGAAAGACAUAUAAUUUAUUUUCGUAUGUUUAUGAUCUUAAUCAAAAGGCUCAUCUCCCUUGACUGUUUUGCUCAAAACUAACUAAUAUCAUUCUUCUUCGUUAUUGUGUCUCCCCUACCUCUUGGUCAUUCCUUCUGUGCUCGUUUGGUGCUUAGAGUCAAAUUAUAUUGGAGUGGAUAACUUAUUAUAUUCAGGGUAUUGGAUAACUCAUUAUAUUCAGGGCAUGUUGUAGAGAGAAAUGGAUAAAGUUUAUUCCACUUAAAGGUAGAAAUUGGAUCACUCAUGAGAAAAAUUA